rnacentral:tRNA from 2 species
GGCAAUGUGGCUCAGUGGUAAAGCAUUUGCCUAGCAUGAAUAAGAUCCUGGGUUCAAUCCCCAGCAUUUUGG